GACGAACGCUGGCGGCGUGCCUAAUACAUGCAAGUAGAACGCUGAAGGAGGAGCUUGCUUCUCUGGAUGAGUUGCGAACGGGUGAGUAACGCGUAGGUAACCUGCCUGGUAGCGGGGGAUAACUAUUGGAAACGAUAGCUAAUACCGCAUAAUAGUAGAUGUUGCAUGACAUUUACUUAAAAGGUGCAAUUGCAUCACUACCAGAUGGACCUGCGUUGUAUUAGCUAGUUGGUGGGGUAACGGCUCACCAAGGCGACGAUACAUAGCCGACCUGAGAGGGUGAUCGGCCACACUGGGACUGAGACACGGCCCAGACUCCUACGGGAGGCAGCAGUAGGGAAUCUUCGGCAAUGGACGAAAGUCUGACCGAGCAACGCCGCGGGAGUGAAGAAGGUUUUCGGAUCGUAAAGCUCUGUUGUAAGAGAAGAACGAGUGUGAGAGUGGAAAGUUCACACUGUGACGGUAGCUUACCAGAAAGGGACGGCUAACUACGUG
rnacentral:rRNA from 1 species